UACGGAGGGGGCGAGCGUUAUUCGGAAUUAUUGGGCGUAAAGGGCGCGUAGGCGGCGCGAUAAGUCAAAGGUGAAAUCCCUCGGCUCAACUGAGGAACUGCCUUUGAGACUGUCGUGCUCGAGGCCGGGAGGGGGUAGCGGAAUUCCCAGUGUAGCGGUGAAAUGCGUAGAUAUUGGGAGGAACACCAGUGGCGAAGGCGGCUACCUGGACCGGUUCUGACGCUGAUGCGCGAAAGCGUGGGUAGCAAACAGG
rnacentral:rRNA from 1 species